AGAGGUUCUUGGGUGACACACCCUGGAAUUGGGCUCCCUCCUCUCUGGUUCUGGGUGUGUCACCCGAGAACCACA
rfam:Myotis brandtii contig203265, whole genome shotgun sequence.